rnacentral:rRNA from 1 species
AUACGGAGGAUCCGAGCGUUAUCCGGAUUUAUUGGGUUUAAAGGGUGCGCAGGCGGCCAUUUAAGUCAGCGGUUAAAUCGUGGGGCUCAACCCCAUUCUGCCGUUGAUACUGGGUGGCUUGAUUGCGGUCGAGGUUGGCGGAAUUCGUUGUGUAGCGGUGAAAUGCAUAGAUAUGACGAAGAACACCGAUUGCGUAGGCAGCUGACCAGACCGCAAAUGACGCUCAUGCACGAAAGUGCGGGGAUCGAACAGGAUUAGAUACCCUGGUAGUCCGCACAGUAAACGAUGAAUACUUGUUUUCGGCGAUAUAAUGUCGGAGGCAAAGCGAAAGCGAUAAGUAUUCCACCUGGGGAGUACGCCAGCAACGGUGAAACUUAAAGGAAUUGACGGGG